UACGUAGGGUGCGAGCGUUGUCCGGAAUCAUUGGGCGUAAAGAGCGUGUAGGCGGCCCGGUAAGUCCGCUGUGAAAGUCGGGGGCUCAACCCUCGAAUGCCGGUGGAUACUGUCGGGCUAGAGUGCGGAAGAGGCGAGUGGAAUUCCUGGUGUAGCGGUGAAAUGCGCAGAUAUCAGGAGGAACACCGGUGGCGAAGGCGGUUCUCUGGGCCUUACCUGACGCUGAGGAGCGAAAGCAUGGGGAGCAAACAGG
rnacentral:rRNA from 1 species